AAAUUAAUCAUAAUCGUAACCAUAUGCGUUGCAGAGAAAACGCAAGUCCAGGGGAAGUUUUAUUUACAAACGAAUGACAGUCAUCCCUGGCCGGUGUUCUAUGUUCGGCUUAUAAUUAUUUUUGUAUGUCAACUUUUUAAUUAUCAUGACUGAUGAACAUGUUUCUGAACGAACACCAAAUUCUCCGAGCGAUGUUGAUUACAAUUCUGUUCAAGAGGAUGGAAGUCUCCGAAUUAAAAUAAUUUGUUUAGGAGAUAGUGCUGUCGGAAAAUCAAAGUUAGUUGAAAGAUUUUUAUUAGAUGGAUAUAAACCACAUUCACUAUCAACCUAUGCUCUGACUAUGUUUCAGUAUAAAACAAAAAUAGAUGAUGAAAAUAUUUUAGUAGAUAUAUGGGAUACUGCUGGACAAGAAAAGUUCAACAACUUACACCCAUCUUAUUACCAUGAUGCCCACGCUUGUAUAAUGGUGUUUGAUAGUACUAGAAAACCAACUUACAAAAGCCUCACAAGGUGGCAUACUGAAUUAAGAGAAUAUCGUCCAGAAAUUCCUUGUUUAUGUGCUGCCAACAAAAUUGAUGCCAAUCCUACCGUAACAAAAAAGUCUUUUCAUCUACCACAAAAACUGAAAAUGCCACUUUAUUUUGUUUCUGCUUCUGAUGGAACAAAUGUUGUUAAACUUUUUAAUGAUGCAAUUAAAAAUGCUGUGCUUUAUAAGAAGAAUCCUACUGACUUUUUUGAUAAAGUGAUGCAAGAAUUAGAAGCUUUCAGUUGUCAAUGAGAUUUCACAGAAUGUACACUCCAAAAAUAAUGAACAAUUAUGAAUGGCCUGUGGAGCAGAAUGAUGGCUUUAGAAACAGGCAGUGAUUCAAAUGAUGGCACCGGGAACUCUUUUGAUACAAGCAAUGAUUUUGCUGAUUCUCCGAAUGUGACUAUGAUAGAAGAUAAUAGUAAUAAUUAAGCUUUUUUAAAUUUGUUUUUUUGAAGGACCCGUGCCUUGCUAUCACUGUUUGUGAUAAUAAGACUGUGAUUAUGUUCCACAGCUAUUUUUCUGCAAAUUUCAAAUUUAUAAGUACACUAAACUUGUCUGUUGUCUCAUUUCUUUAUGGCCCAACAAUAUAUAUUUCAACUAUCAAGUUACUUUUAUAGAUGUUUUAUUUAUUCAAAAAAUUGUGCAAUGUGUUUCAUGUGGCUGACUAAAGGGUGACAAGUGAAUUUGCAUUUUAUGAUUAUUUAUGAAAAUUUUUUUGCUUAAAAAUUUAUACUCUUGUUUUAAGCAAUUGAUUUUUCUGAAAUGAAUACAAAUUGAAGUGUGAUUUUUUUUUUUUUUGUCUUACCAAUAUUUAAUGGUAUUCUUUGUUACUUUACAAACAUAUGCUCCACUGCUAAAAAUAAGCAUGUUUUCUUGCUUUUAAGUUUUUGAAUUAUUUAUCUUGAAUAAAUGUACCAAGAUCUAGUUUUUUGAGUUCAAAAAUUUUUAAGGCAAUACUUUAGAUUUUUUAAAUGUUUCUGAACGAAAGAGCAAUUUUUGCUAGUGGGUUUAUGACUAUUGAAGCAAUAUAUAGCAUAAGAUCUUUAUAACGCAAACUUUAAAACCUGAGUCUGCAUUGCAUGGAAUUUUUUGUUUUAUUGAUCAUUACUCCUAUUACAAACUUACCUAGCAUUAAUGGCAAUAUAAUUUCUUAUUAUUAAUGGCAUAAAUACAUUUUUAAGUUCAAAUACAAUUAAACUCAAAUAUAAGGAAAUUCAACAUUCAUUACUUACAGGUAAAGAUUUAUCAAGUAUCUGAGAGAGAACUUUUAACUGGUUACAGACUGCAAAAUUAUUUGUUAAAAAGUAACAGUCUCUCAAGCAAAGAAAAAUUUAUAAAUAUCAGGGUUGCCACAGGCGACUAAAAUGCAACUAUUUGCAACUAUUUUUAGCAUAAGGCGACUAUGGCAACUUUUUUUGCUGAAAAGGCUAAAAAAGCAACUAUUUUCAGGAAAAGGAGACUAUUGGGAGACUUUUCUGCAUAAUAUGGGUGGAAAAUCUGCACCCCCAAGAUAGUUUUUGAACACACUUAAAAAAUUUUGAAUUGCAAAUUUGAGUCAUUUUAAUUCCUUCAAUCUGCACAGAUUCCAUUGUAAGUCUAUUUCAUUUCUCGAUCGCCUUUUCAAUUAUUAUUGCUGCGAAAUUCCACAUGAAUCUUAAAAAGGAAAGAAAAAAAAUUUAAUACGACAUAGCGAUGCGUGAAUUUCGAAUUUGAGUAAUCACUUUUCAUAUAUAUAUGUAUAAACAUUAAUGCUUAUAUGAAAAUUAUCAUUUUUGCCACCAACUUCACUGAAUGGAUAAUGGUAUAUGACACUUAAGUCAUUAACAAAAUUUUAGUCAAUUUUUUGAUGAAUUUUUGUUCUUAUUUAGGCAACUAUUUUCCUAGUUUUUGGCUACAAUUUUCAUGCUUUAGGCUACUAAAAGCAACUAUUUUGUUCAGUUUUUUCUGUGGCAACCCUGAAAUUUAUUAGUUAGCCAAUAAAUUUAUAAAUUUUUCUUUGCUUUAAAGACUGCCUUUUUAAAAUAUAAUUUUACAGCCUGUGAACAGUUAAAAGUUCUUGCUCAGAUACACAGUAUUCUGUUUCUAGUAAUUUCAAGUACUGAUCUCCUUGGAAAUUCCUUCGACUGCUCUUCUGUCCAAACUGUUGGGACCAUAUUUUCUAAAUUAUGGCUAGCUCUCAUAUUUUGAUAGUAUAUGGUAAAACACAAUUGUUCAAAAUCUAAUGACAUUAGUUAUAAUUGUAAGUUCUUUUUCAUCUUACUCCUUCCCAAAAUUUUUUAAAACAUGAUUUGCAUAGUAAAUAUUAAUUAAGAGAUCAAACGUUAAUGUAAACUUAUUUUAAAACAGUAAAGCAAACUAAAUUCGUAAACUUUUUUUAAACUAUUGACUCCAUCUCAUAUCUAGUUAUUUGUUUGCAAUCUGGUUCAUACAUCUGAUUUACACAUUGUACUUAAAGCAUGCAUGUACUUAAAUCCUAAGUAUACAGUUUGUUACUUUCGAUGUAUCAAUUAUUCUCAGUUUCUAGCUUCAAAUAUAAGAAAAUUACUGGUAUUUCAUAAAUCUUGCAUUCUAUAUUAGUGCAUUUUUAAAACACAAACCUUUAGACAGGUACUAACCUGAAAUUGAUGUUUUUUAUAGCAUGAAAAUAACAGAACAAAUACUGCUGUUAGAAGGUUUUAUAAUGUUAGAGAUUAUUUAUUCAUAGUUUUUCUAACUAUGCCAAAAAUCCUUACAUAGGUUGUAAAAAGAUCUGCAUCAUAAAUUAAAACUUUUAGGAAAUAAUUUUCUAUGCAAGUAGCUAAGAAUUUUGCUCGUUACCAGUUGAGUUUUUUUACUUGAUUGUCUUACUAAAUAUCCUUACUUAGAUACAUUUUAGUUAAGAAAUUUUUUGCCAUGGUGCUGAAUCCACUAGUUAAUAAAACACAUUUGGAUAACCUUCUAUAUCAAUAAAGUACAGAAGGCAAUUAAUCAUAUUUAAAUUUUAAUUCCUCUCAAACAGACGGAAUAUAUGAUUUUACUACAAAAACUAUAACAGCUGCUCUGAAUGUUUCUAAAUUUUAUUAUGUAUAUUUUUCUUCAUCUGAGCAUUUAUGCUGAAUGUCAUUAGUUUACAUACAAAUCUACAUGGUAAUUCAAAAGUAACUAAAAAUGUUUUAGUUGUAUAACUGGAAAACUACUGUAUUUAAUCACACCAGAUGUCCCAGAUAAUUAUUUCAAUCCUUGAAAAAUAAGAUUCUAGAUUUUUUUUUUUAAAUUUACUUUUAAUUAUAUGAUCUUCUCUCUUUUUUCAAUUUGCUUUUUUUUACAUGAAAGUUUUAUGAUUUUCAUUCUCCACUUCAUUGUAUUGAGAUACUAAAUACUUCAUAUAUAUUAAGAUACUAAAUUUCAGUCCGUUUGAUGCUUUUGUUUUUGAGCAACACAGCUACUAACACUACCUACCAGAUAUGCAUAAAUUUAUUUUCGACACUUAACUAAUUUAUUUUCUGUUUAACUUUAUAUUCAUUCAGAAAAUAAGGUUUGAGAAAAUAUGGUGGUUUUUUCUUACUCAAAAACACCAUUUUAGUAAACAAAGAUUUUUCAUGUCUCGUGGUUCACAUCAUACCUGUUAUCAGUGUGAUUAAUGUGAUAAUUUUUAGAGAAUGCUGUUUUUAUGCUAUAAUCUAGUCUAUUCGGUUGGUGUAAAUUACAGCUAUAUAUUUCAGAUUGAGCUGAAAAGAUAAUCUAAUAUUCUUGUAAACUAUUAGAGGAAUCUUUUAUGCGGCAGUCUGCUGUCACAUCUUAGUGAUUACUUAAUGAUUAUUUUCUUUUUCAGUCUGCUUCUUAAAUUAUCUAGUUUUAUGUACUAGCAAUUAAAUUUUUACUUUUCAGAUAUACUCUUAAUACUGUAGCUUUUUAUUAUUUUCUUGUAUAAAAUAUAACAUUUUUGUGAAGUGUUAUUGAUAAAGCAUUUAAAGGGCAUAUUAUUUUGUUAAAAUGCUUCAAAAUCAUCGAUAAAUUAUGUUUGAUGCAAAUUGUAAUCAUAGUGUUGCACUAUUAAUUAGUCUUGUACUUUAUUCAUUUGCUCUAUAAGAUAUAUUUAUUAAGAUGUGAUAAAUUAUUUUUACCAUAACACAAUCUUUGUUUUUUUAAAUUGCAGCAAUUCAUUUUUAUUAUUAUUAUUUUUACUUUAUUUUAAAAUGUAGUUUGACAAAUUUUUUAAUUCAAGACUUUUUUUGUAGACAAUUUAAUUUUGUUUAAGAUCUUCAAAGAAAAGGGGAUACAUUGUUUUUGGAAUUAGAAACAUAGAAAGAGUAACAAUUUUACACCAAUAUUUUAUUUGUGAACGUUAUUUCAAGUCAUUUUAUGUAUCAUUAUUUUUAUUUAUACAUAAUUUUAAUGUAAAAAGCUCAAUUUAUGUUUAUUGUAUGUGUUUUUAUUGAUAUAUGUAAGUUGUGGUCAUUACAAAAUAUAUUUGGAUUUAAUUAUUGACAACACCCUGACAUUACUUAUGAUAAAUUUUAAGUGGAUCACAUUUGUUUUAUACUAAUUUUUGAGACAUUAAGCGUGAAUAAAUGUUUUACCAUCGAGAUUUAAAAAAUUAUAUGUAGAAACAAAACCAAAACGUAAAAAAAAAAUUCCUUAAGCAUUGAAUAUUGAAAUUAACUAAGAACUAAAUUUUGAGAGUGGCAGAAAGUUCUGAUUAUCACUUUUAAUAUUGCAUAUUACAGCAAAAUCAUCUUUGUAUGAAGCUAGAGAGGUAUCAUGACUCGAAAUGGUAUCCUGUAUGUAUGUUUUGGUAUGUUGACCAUAAAGCUUGGUUUAAAAGUUGUUAACUCUCUCUAUGUGAAACAUACUAUGGAGCUACAGUCUGCUCUAAGUUUUAAAAGUGUAAGAUUUACUUUACAAAAAAUUAGUAGUUAAAUAAUUUUUUUCUUCAUAUUUUUGUAUAUUUCACUUUAAUGAUCUGUGCCUAAGUAUUUUUUUAAUUUUACUUUUUGUGUAUCUUGUUAUGCAACCGGUUUGUCACUGUCAUAAGUAAAGAACUGGAAUGUAUUUCAUUCAUUUGGGAGGUGUAGCCCAUUUGCAUUGCUGGAAAAAUUUUUAAACUGAUUUCAAAAUGAUUAGGUUGAUGAAAUUAUUUCAGUCUCAAAAUGAAUAUUGUAUUCAAGUUAUUUAAUUACAAAUAUUUAAAACACAUAAUAUAUUGGAAAUAGAUUUUUUAUAGAGUUUCAGCUGGAUUAAAUACUAAGAAAAAUCUUACUUUCUUAAAAUGAUAAAGGGAACUUUACUUAUCUAUUUUAUUAAAUACAUCUAAUAUUUAUAUCAAUAUUUAAAUUUUAAUUUGCUACUAUUGUAUUUUUUUAUAUUAUGUACUGUUUCAUAAAAGAAAUAUUAAUUACUUGCUUAUUUCUGUUUUGUUACAUUCAAUAUAAUUCAUACUUUUAUUCCAGUCUAUCAUUUAAGUAUUUUGGAUGACAGAUUGAACAUUACUGCAUUAUUACAUGAGUUAUUAUAGUUUAUUUAUAUUCUAAUAAGAUGUGGUUUAUUGAUUUUAAGUAUAAACAGUUUAAUAUUUUAUUUUGCCUAGUCAAUCAUUAGUUGCUUGUUUUUAAAAACGCUGAGUGAAAAGUUUUCAAACUCAUUGCUAAACAGAACAAUAUUUUUUUACAAUAAAUCUUUGGUUUGAGCUCUUGCUCCACUCACAAUGUUAGAUUAGGUUUUAAUUCAUUUUUAUGUUGUUGAUAAAAAAACUCAUAUUUUUAUAUUUAUUUCCAAACAAGUGCAAUAAAGUUAUUUAUAUGCAA